GGGUGCGAUCAUACCGGCGUUAGUGCAUCGAAUCCUAUCAGAACUCCGUAGUUAAGCACGCUUGGGCUAGAGUUGUACUGGGAUGGGUGACCUCCUGGGAAGUCCUAGUGAUGCACCCU
rfam:Picea glauca, whole genome shotgun sequence.